AUGUUUUCUCUUUUCUAACCAUAACAAAGAUGUUUUUUUAAAAUAUAUCAAAGUUAUUUGAAUCUUGAAAUUUGCUUCAGUAAUUUGGUGCUUCUAACAUUUUGCUUCCUGUAAUGUAAAAAAAAAAAAAGUAGUGUUUUUCAUUCAUGUUAGAUCUUUAACAUUGUCAUUCUUUUUCUAAGUAAUUUGAAUAUUUAUCAUGGUUUCUUAUAGUUUGUAAAAUUUGUAGGAUGAUUGAUAAGUUUACUUGGUCUUAUGCAUGGCAUUAAGAAAAUAGCACUACAAAGAGAUACUGUCAACCUAAGUGAAACAUUCUGUGGUUUUUGAAUUUUGUGUGAUGUCAAAAAGAAAUGUUUCUUUUUCUCUCAUAAAAAUUGCAAAAAUAUUAAUAAGAUUUUUUAAACUAAUUAUUUCUUCUCCUUUUUAAAUGAAAUGGAGUAGUUUCACUCAGUAAUCUGUUUCAUUGUUGAGUUUUAGUGUAAAACUACUUAUAUGUUAUGGGAAAACAUUUAAAACCCAAUUAUUAAAAACAUUUAAAACCCAAUUAUUAAAAACAUUUAAAACCCAAUUAUUAAAAACAUUUAAAACCCAA
rnacentral:lncRNA from 1 species